rnacentral:misc_RNA from 1 species
CUUCUUCUUCCUCUUCUUCUUUGUUCACCGCAUCAGCUGACGAAGCAUCUUCAGAUUCUUUCUGGGAAUAAUCAGAGAGGGUUUCUUCUUCUGUAAUUUCAGCAUCUGAAGUUUCAGAUGCAGAACUCUCCUCAAGCUGCUUGCCAUCUCUUUCCUUGUUUAGAUACAGCUGGAUUCGUGGGUUAGGCUUAUAAUGAAGAAAUUGAGGCCUUGGCGAGAGGUAAUUAGUCUUGGGAUCGUAAGGAGGCAAUAAUGGAUCCGCAUCAAGAGGUGCCAAAGGACAAGAGGCCCUUGGACUAAUCUUAAAACUUGGAUCAAGAUUAACACAAUCCUUUUCAACAGCUGCACUUUCUGAUAACGAAUCCCAUUCAUCUUCAGUAAUUGAAAAAGUUACCAUACAAUCAAAAUCUUCACUAUGUGUUAAGUUAUCUUUGUCCUCCAAACGAGUAAUUGUUGGAUCAAGUGAGACCCCCUCCUUCUGACUGAAGUGAGACCUCCAACCCUUUUCCACAGUUAUACUUUCUGGUAACUCCCAAUCAUCUUUAGUACUUGAAUGUUCCAUAGAAUCAAAAUCUUCAUUACUUUUUGAGGUGUCCUUAUCCUCCAAAUAAGUGAUUGUUGGAUCAAAUGAGA